CCAAACUAUGAAAAAAAGUGUGACUUGAAAAUAUGGUAGUUUUAAUCAGGCUUUGCCACAAAGGUAAAAGGUGCAUUCCAUGCAAACAUCACAGUCUUCUGUGCAUAGUUGCAUGACUGUGACCUUUUCUUUGGUCUUGCUUAAAUGCACAGUGGAUGUGUUAACCACAUAACUCCCAGCAAGGCGCUCAACAGGCAGAAAUGAUGCUGGCUAUGACAUGUCUGUUCCCUACAAGCUCCAAUAAUGAGCUAAGUCCAACCAUUACGCCCCCACGCCAGCAGGGGAGACAAUUCCUCUAGUGAGCAGUUGAAGACCCACCCGUCGCUUCUGCCAGUAGAACAGCUGAUAGGGUAAACAAACAGUCAGUGUGCGGCUCGCCGGCAAAUUCAAACAGAAAGGCUAGCCUACAGUUUGGUUAGGCUACUUCACUUUACUUGGAUGUAAGAAUGUGGUUCAAAAACAACACAUCCGCGAUCGUUGGCGCUCGGUCAUUCCUUCUAGAAGAGGGGACCUUGAAACGAGCACUUCCCUUUGCUUGGAGGAAUGGUGAGCGUUGGAUCAUCUAGUGCCAGACGAGUGGUUACUUCAUCAGAUCGGGCCAGGAGGAGGGACAUCAGCCGUCGGGAAAUCAGAGCCGCGGUAUCCUUCAGCCGUAGCCUACCGACCAGUGUUCACUCGGAAACAAAUUGUAGGCGCUACAAACUGGAGUAAGGGUAAGAUUUAAAGAAUAUGCAUUCAUUCUUCUGUAAGCUAUAAGGAAAUAAAUAUGUUAAUAGAGACCGAUCUUAACCGUACAUUUUGUUUUCACAGACUAACCUCGCCUCAUAACGAGGCCGUGACCUCCUAUUUACUCAGAGCUAUGUCUGCAUGUCAUGAAGUCAUUGCGUCUGCCUGUAAGACCUAUUACGAGACAGUAGGCUACGCAGGAGCUUCAGGUAAACAACCAGACGUUGCAUAUCGCAUGCGGAAGCUGUGAAGAGUUCAGCUCGGAGUCGAUCAAGAAGAAAGAGAGUGAGAUCCAUUUUUGCUGCUGGAAGCGAGACAGACUCCGAAGUAGACUACAAGGCAACGCACCACAGACAUCUGCAAAAUGGACCGAAUUCUGACAGAAUACCGCCAGUUACCUACUGCUCCGAGGUGGUAAACAGCCACUUCACGGUGCUGCAGGAUUUUGGGCUUCUUGUGAGCUUCUAAUUUGUUGUGAGGGGUGAUCUCAC